CCUUUGUAAAUAUUCUCUCAAGGUCUUGCAGGGGCUCUGUACACUCCAAAGAAGAAAUCAAAUAUUCCAAAACAGGACAGGCGUUGUAUCUUCCGCGCAAAAGAAGGAUUCACCUUUCUUCGAGCAAAUCCACUGUUUGAUCGCACAAUGGUCGCUUCGAGAUCUGUGCAAGCGGAUGAAUGUGGAGUGCUUUGAAAUCUUUGCAGGGCGCAAUCCAGCAGUCUAUGUCAUGAAAGAAGAUCAAUCAUUCUUUUUCACGAAAGAUACAACCUGAACCCUCCAAAUCAUGCUACAAUUAUUCCUUGUGCUGCUUGCAAUGCACAGUAAAAGGGAUGAUGACAUGCAUACUUACAGUCAUGGUAUGCCGUACCGGUCCAAACUGGACAGUAUAAAGCGUACCGUACCAUACCGGUUCAGUCCCAAAAAAAUUCGUACCGUACCGACACUGUGCUAGUGUGGCAUUGGUACAGAGUUUGGUAUCAAGACAGCGAACCUAGUUACAGUAAGUGGUAGAUCAUUAAAACAAACGCCAUUUU
rnacentral:lncRNA from 1 species